CUCCUGCUAUAGCAAUAAGGAGGAAAUGCAUUAUUUCCUCUAUCAUUUUAGAGGAAUGUGGCCCUUCUGCACGUUAUAUAAGUGAUAUGAGUUUUACUGGUGUAAACUGAUGUGAAUUGAUGUGAUUGCUUUGACCUCUGGGAAGGGCUGAUGCACAUCCACUGAGAAGUUGGCCAACUAAUAACCUGCUGUGUAAUAACAUUUAUGCACAAAGCAGGUUUGCAGAGCUGAUGAGUUUGUUUGGGUUAAGCGUUGGUUUGGGUGUGUUGUAUGAUAGCACAUGAGAGGAGGGUCCGAAGGGGGCUGUAACCAAAAGAAGCAAAUACCUGAAAGAGUUAAAGCUGUACCAUGCUCAAGGCAAAUUCUGCUGUUGUAAGAACAUUUCUGCUCUUUCUGCAAAAUACCAUCUCUUUCAAAACAGCUAGAUGCCAGGGACACUUUGCAAAUGUCUUCCUUUCUUCUGUUAAAAACUCUGCAACUGCAACUCGUUCACCAGAGCCUUUCCACUCCUGGACAGGCAGCCUGCCCAGAAACAGUUCCAGCCUUGCAAAUCAACAGACAAAUGCUGCUGGCAUGGAUAAAACCACCCAGUAUUUUUAAGACAUUCAGCUGUACAGACGUGCUCCAUGGUACACUUGUGCUCUCAGUCUCAAGUAUGGUACUUGACAUACUUUAUUAUAUCCUAAAUUUAUUUCUGUGUAUUUCUAUAUAUGACCAUCUCCCCCAGACAUGCAUGCUGUUAAAUGCCAGCUGCCAGAGUACUCUGUGCACUCUCCAGCACUCCCUUCAUGCCUCCUCUGGGAACAAAAUACAAACAUUCAGCUUUUUCCAAUAGAAAUCCCAAUCUGAUCAGGCUGAUGCAACACUCCGACAUUUUUUCUCAUACUCUUACAUAACUUUUUGGUGAUAAUUCCUUUUUAGGUCAUAGGUACAGCACUUGAGACAUACAGGAGGUGCAAGGUUCAGUGCUAAGCAGUGCGGGCAGGAUCAGUCAGCUGGAGAGAACAAGUCCUCAGCAGUACAGGUGAGACUGCAUCCAGGACACCAGGCAUCAGCAGUGCUGAUGUAGUCACAGGGAUUAAUUUGGGGCUAUUCAGGGUCUAGAAUUGGUGGGCUGAGCCUUACUGCUCUUUCUGUUUUCAUGAAGGAAGCUUGGGUAAAAAAUACAGCCUUACUCUUCCAAGUGUAGGUGAGCAGAGUCAACAUAACACACCCCAACUACCCCUAAAUGCUACCCAGGGCAGGAUUAUUCUCAAUGCACUCGGAAGGGAAAAGUCCCACCACUACAAAAGCUCAGCAUAUCCUCUCCCUACAUGGUCUGGGAUUUUUCUACUCAGGGGCUGCCUGCUACAAGUGAGGAUGAGCUGCCACAUCUCUGAAAAAAAACGAAAGCUGAGCAAGGCAACAGUGAGCAUCCACAAGCCAGGCUGGGAUCUGGAAUGCUCUUAGCAUAUCACACACGUGCCUGUGCCAAUGUAUGGGGACAUUUACAUGGGCAAAGGGAGGACAUAUGUGUUGGUGAAGACAAUAUUGGGAUGCUCCAUGAGCACAAGAGGCCUAGACCUACCACAAGCUGAGCAGCAUGAUGCUUGUGACCACAAGCUUUCUGUCUGUCCGAAGCAUGUGUUCUUCUGCCACUGUCACCUGAGGGAUGUGAUCCCUUCGUCAGGCACUCUUAGAGCCCUCCUUUCAGAGCAUGCGUGGCUCAAAAUUUGUCUUUCCUUAAAGAGAAGA